UGGGGAAUAUUGCACAAUGGAGGAAACUCUGAUGCAGCGACGCCGCGUGAGUGAAGAAGUAAUUCGUUAUGUAAAGCUCUAUCAGCAGGGAAGAUAGUGACGGUACCUGACUAAGAAGCUCCGGCUAAAUACGUGCCAGCAGCCGCGGUAAUACGUAUGGAGCAAGCGUUAUCCGGAUUUACUGGGUGUAAAGGGAGUGUAGGUGGCCAUGCAAGUCAGAAGUGAAAAUCCGGGGCUCAACCCCGGAACUGCUUUUGAAACUGUAAGGCUGGAGUGCAGGAGGGGUGAGUGGAAUUCCUAGUGUAGCGGUGAAAUGCGUAGAUAUUAGGAGGAACACCAGUGGCGAAGGCGGCUCACUGGACUGUAACUGACACUGA
rnacentral:rRNA from 1 species